rnacentral:snRNA from 1 species
UUGCUUCAGCAGCGCAUAUACUAAAAUUGGAACGAUACCAAGAAGAUUAGCAUGGCCCCUGUGUAGGGAUGACAUGUAAUUUGUGAAGCGUUUCAUAUUUUU